GCACGGGUUCCCGAGCGGUCAAAGGGGCCAGACUUAAGAUCUGGUGGCUUAGUGCCUUCGGAGGUUCGAAUCCUCCCCCGUGCA
rnacentral:tRNA from 1 species